UACUCAUGAGAAGUCUGACGGAGCACGCCGCGUGAGUGAUGAGGUUUUCAGGAUCGUAAAGCUCUGUUGUUAGGGAAAUUCAAGUAUGAAUAACUGGUUGUACCUUGACGGUACCUUUUUAAAAAGUCCCGCUAACUAAAUGGAACCGCCGCGGCCAUAUAAAAGUGGCAAGCGUUGUCCGGAAUUAAUGACGUAAAGCGCGCUCAUGCGGUCCUUUAAUUCUGAUGUGAAAGCCCACGGGUCCACCGUGGAGGGUGUUUGGAAACUGGGGGACUUGAGUGCACAAGAAGAAAGUGGAAUU
rnacentral:rRNA from 2 species